GACGAACGCUGGCGGCGUGCUUAACACAUGCAAGUCGAACGCUGAAGCUCAGCUUUUGUUGGGUGGAUGAGUGGCGAACGGGUGAGUAACACGUGAGUAACCUGCCCUCUUCUUUGGGAUAACGCCCGGAAACGGGUGCUAAUACUGGAUAUUCACUGAUCUUCGCAUGGGGGUUGGUGGAAAGGUUUGUUCUGGUGGGGGAUGGGCUCGCGGCCUAUCAGCUUGUUGGUGGGGUGAUGGCCUACCAAGGCUUUGACGGGUAGCCGGCCUGAGAGGGUGACCGGUCACAUUGGGACUGAGAUACGGCCCAGACUCCUACGGGAGGCAGCAGUGGGGAAUAAUGCACAAUGUGCGAAAGCCUGAUGCAGCGACGCCGCGUGAGGGAUGGAGGCCUUCGGGUUGUAAACCUCUUUCGCUCAUGGUCAAGCCGCGACGUGGGUUGUGGUGAGGGUAGUGGGUAAAGAAGCGCCGGCUAACUACGUG
rnacentral:rRNA from 1 species